rnacentral:rRNA from 1 species
ACAGGGGGAUAGCCCGGAGAAAUCUGGAUUAAUACCCCAUGGUACAUAUUGAUGGCAUCAGAGAUAUGUUAAAGAUUCAUCGGUAUAAGAUGGGCAUGCGUCUGAUUAGCUAGUUGGCGGUGUAACGGACCACCAAGGCGACGAUCAGUAGGGGUUCUGAGAGGAAGGUCCCCCACACUGGCACUGAGAUACGGGCCAGACUCCUACGGGAGGCAGCAGUAGGGAAUAUUGGGCAAUGGUCGGAAGACUGACCCAGCCAUGCCGCGUGCAGGAAGACGGCCCUCUGGGUUGUAAACUGCUUUUAUCUGGGAAGGAAAAGGCCAUGCGUGGCAAAUUGCCGGUACCAGAUGAAUAAGCACCGGCUAACUCCGUGCCAGCAGCCGCGGUAAUACGGAGGGUGCGAGCGUUGUCCGGAUUUAUUGGGUUUAAAGGGUGCGUAGGCGGCUGAUUAAGUCAGCGGUGAAAGACUUCGGCUUAACCGGAGCAGUGCCGUUGAUACUGGUUGGCUUGAGUGUCGGAGGGGUACAUGGAACUGAUGGUGUAGCGGUGAAAUGCAUAGAUACCAUCAGGAACACCGAUAGCGAAGGCAUUGUACUGGCCGACAACUGACGCUGAUGCACGAAAGUGUGGGGAUCGAACAGGAUUAGAUACCCUGGUAGUCCACACCGUAAACGAUGAUUACUCGCUGUUAUGGUGUAUGCUGUAGUGGCCAAGCGAAAGCGUUGAGUAAUCCACCUGGGGAGUACGCCGGCAACGGUGAAACUCAAAGGAAUUGACGGGGGUCCGCACAAGCGGUGGAGCAUGU